rnacentral:rRNA from 1 species
AAUAGAUACCCAGGUAGUCCACGCCGUAAACGAUGAGUGCUAAGUGUUAGAGGGUUUCCGCCCUUUAGUGCUGCAGCUAACGCAUUAAGCACUCCGCCUGGGGAGUACGGCCGCAAGGCUGAAACUCAAAGGAAUUGACGGGGGCCCGCACAAGCGGUGGAGCAUGUGGUUUAAUUCGAAGCAACGCGAAGAACCUUACCAGGUCUUGACAUCCUCUGCCACUCCUAGAGAUAGGACGUUCCCCUUCGGGGGACAGAGUGACAGGUGGUGCAUGGUUGUCGUCAGCUCGUGUCGUGAGAUGUUGGGUUAAGUCCCGCAACGAGCGCAACCCUUGUUCUUAGUUGCCAGCAUUCAGUUGGGCACUCUAAGGAGACUGCCGGUGACAAACCGGAGGAAGGUGGGGAUGACGUCAAAUCAUCAUGCCCCUUAUGACCUGGGCUACACACGUGCUACAAUGGAUGGUACAAAGGGCUGCGAAACCGCGAGGUUAAGCCAAUCCCAUAAAACCAUUCUCAGUUCGGA